rnacentral:rRNA from 1 species
UACAGAGGUCCCAAGCGUUGUUCGGAUUCACUGGGCGUAAAGGGUGCGUAGGCGGUCGGUUAAGUCUGAUGUGAAAUCUCACAGCUUAACUGUGAAACUGCAUUGGAUACUAUCCGGCUCGAGGAAUGGAGGGGAGACUGGAAUACUUGGUGUAGCAGUGAAAUGCGUAGAUAUCAAGUGGAACACCAGUGGCGAAGGCGAGUCUCUGGACAUUUCCUGACGCUGAGGCACGAAAGCCAGGGGAGCAAACGGG